rnacentral:rRNA from 1 species
UACGUAGGGUGCAAGCGUUGUCCGGAAUUAUUGGGCGUAAAGAGCUCGUAGGCGGUUUGUUGCGUCGGCUGUGAAAUCCCGAGGCUCAACCUCGGGUCUGCAGUCGAUACGAGCAAACUAGAGUGUUGCAGGGGAGACUGGAAUUCCUGGUGUAGCGGUGAAAUGCGUAGAUAUCUGGAGGAACACCGGUGGCGAAGGCGGCAUCCUGGACCGAUACUGACGCUGAGGAGCGAAAGCCAGGGGAGCAAACGGG